rnacentral:rRNA from 1 species
UACGUAGGUGGCAAGCGUUAUCCGGAAUUAUUGGGCGUAAAGCGCGCGCAGGCGGCUUCUUAAGUCCGAUGGUGAAAGUCCAGGGCUCAACCCUGGGAUGCCGGUCGAUACUGCCGGACUAGAGUUCGGAAGAGGCGAGUGGAAUUCCCGGUGUAGCGGUGAAAUGCGUAGAUAUCGAGAGGAACACCUGCGGCGAAGGCGGGUUGCUGGGCUGACACUGACGCUGAUGCGCGAAAGCUAGGGGAGCGAACGGG